GAAAUGCGAUAAGUAAUGUGAAUUGCAGAAUUCAGUGAAUCAUCGAAUCUUUGAACGCACAUUGCGCCCGCCAGUAUUCUGGCGGGCAUGCCUGUCCGAGCGUCAUUUCAACCAUCAAGCCCCCGGGCUUGUGUUGGGGACCUGCGGCUGCCCGCAGGCCCUGAAAACCAGUGGCGGGCUCGCUGUCACACCGAGCGUAGUAGCAAUCACCUCGCUCAGGGCGUGCUGCGGGUUCCGGCCGUUAAACAGCCUUACAAAACCCAAGGUUGACCUCGGAUCAGGUAGGAAGACCCGCUGAGCUUAAGC
rnacentral:misc_RNA from 1 species